rnacentral:misc_RNA from 1 species
GUCUUACAUAUUAAAUAACAUCCAAGAAAACAAAAUUUAACCCACAUCGACCUCCAAUAUUGGUUCGAGCUCAUACAAUUUAUCUUCUAAUUUGUCUAAUAAUAACUACUUCAAUAACACUAACUAACUUGGACUGUCGAAACUCCAUGACUAGAGAUCAAACGGCCAAAAAUUCACCAACUAAGUAGUUGAAUUUCAUGUAUGAAAGCGAAGAAGAAACCCAUAACAGUAGCAUCCAAAAUUCGCAACUGCAACCAAAAUCAAGAUUUCAAAACUAAAAUCAUAAGGUGUUACCUGAUAAUACUCAAAAUUUUGAAUGCACCCUCUAUCCCUUCCUUUCUGAUGAUUUGAUUGCUCCAAUUGCAACAGCAGUGGAUUAAAGAGAGGAUUAAGAGCGACAAGGAAACAAUUGUAUGGAUAGGAGGAGGGCCGGGAAGGCGGUGAAGAAGAAAGCUAAGAUUGAAAUUGAAA